rnacentral:rRNA from 1 species
GAUCCUGGCUCAGGAUGAACGCUAGCUACAGGCUUAACACAUGCAAGUCGAGGGGCAGCAGGACGAUAGCUUGCUAUGUUGCUGGCGACCGGCGCACGGGUGAGUAACGCGUAUCCAACCUUCCCCUUAGUAGGGCAUAGCCCGGUGAAAAUCGGAUUAAUACCCUAUGUUUUCCAAUGAGGACAUCUGAGCUGGAACAAAGGUUUACCGCUAAGGGAUGGGGAUGCGUCCGAUUAGGUAGUCGGCGGGGUAACGGCCCACCGAGCCCUCGAUCGGUAGGGGUUCUGAGAGGAAGGUCCCCCACACUGGUACUGAGACACGGACCAGACUCCUACGGGAGGCAGCAGUGAGGAAUAUUGGUCAAUGGGCGAGAGCCUGAACCAGCCAAGUAAGCGUGCAGGAUGACGGCCCUAUGGGUUGUAAACUGCUUUUAUACGGGGAUAAAGUGAGGGACGUGUCCCUUAUUGUAGGUACCGUAUGAAUAAGGACCGGCUAAUUCCGUGCCAGCCGCUGC